UGGAAGUAAAAGUCGUAACAAGGUCUCCGUUGGUGAACCAGCGG
rnacentral:rRNA from 1 species